UACGGAGGAUGCGAGCGUUAUCCGGAUUUAUUGGGUUUAAAGGGUGCGCAGGCGGUCUGUUAAGUCAGCGGUCAAAGCCCGGGGCUCAACCCCGGGGCUGCAUUGGAAACUGGCAGGCUGGAGUGCCGGAGAGGCAGGCGGAAUUCCUAGUGUAGCGGUGAAAUGCGUAGAUAUUAGGAGGAACACCAGUGGCGAAGGCGGCCUGCUGGGCUUUUACUGACGCUGAGGCUCGAAAGUGUGGGGAGCAAACAGG
rnacentral:rRNA from 1 species